AUGACCUUACUUGAAAAGGAUCUGUUCUGUAGGAUUGUGUCUCCGAAUCCCUGAGCUCGAAGGAGUCAGGACCCAAAAUCUGAUGGAUGAACAAAAGCCUCAUGACCAGAGCGUGAUUAGUGGCUCUGUGGUGCGACUUGCUGGUCCACAGUUGCACAGGGGAUUGUUCUCACCUAAAGCGAACUUUGGCUGUGAGGGUCAAGUGGCUGUCUGAUAGAUU